UACGUAGGGAGCAAGCGUUGUUCGGAUUUACUAGGCGUAAAGAGCGUGUAGGCGGUCCGGUAAGUCCGCUGUGAAAGUCGGGGGCUCAACCCUCGAAUGCCGGUGGAUACUGUCGGGCUAGAGUGCGGAAGAGGCGAGUGGAAUUCCUGGUGUAGCGGUGAAAUGCGCAGAUAUCAGGAGGAACACCUAUUGCGAAGGCAGCUCGCUGGGACGUAACUGACGCUGAGACGCGAAAGCGUGGGGAGCAAACAGG
rnacentral:rRNA from 1 species